AUAAAGACGAUGCAUAGAAGAGUAACAAUCGCAUUUGAUGUUCAGGGAGUCCAUGGUCACUGCAAGUGGAUCAUCAAGUUGGUUGCGAAGGUAAUCUAUAAGUUGUAGCUGCGACGUAUGAUGCGAAGUGGUUACUGGGAUUGCGCCCAUUACAGCAAUGACGUAUCACACUUGUCCGGACAAGUGCCGUACGUUUCAAGCUCAUGACUGUGAGGUUAUGAGGAAUUAAGGUGGUAACGCGAUUCAACGCCCUUAGC
rnacentral:ncRNA from 1 species